AUUGAAUGGGAAUAAAAGGUACAUGUAAAUUGAACCCGGAAUGUUGAUUUAACGGCAUUUUCGGAAGAUACAAAGGAUACGAUUGGCGGGGAAUUUGUUACGUUCCCCGCCAGAAUCCCCGCCAAGUUUGGGCCGAAUGAGGGCUAAGCUGGCGGGGAUUUUUU
rfam:Lactobacillus oryzae DNA, contig: sequence10, strain: SG293.